rnacentral:rRNA from 1 species
GACGAACGCUGGCGGCGUGCUUAACACAUGCAAGUCGAACGGAAAGGCCCUGCUUUUGUGGGGUGCUCGAGUGGCGAACGGGUGAGUAACACGUGAGUAACCUGCCCUUGACUUUGGGAUAACUUCAGGAAACUGGGGCUAAUACCGGAUAGGAGCUCCUGCUGCAUGGUGGGGGUUGGAAAGUUUCGGCGGUUGGGGAUGGACUCGCGGCUUAUCAGCUUGUUGGUGGGGUAGUGGCUUACCAAGGCUUUGACGGGUAGCCGGCCUGAGAGGGUGACCGGCCACAUUGGGACUGAGAUACGGCCCAGACUCCUACGGGAGGCAGCAGUGGGGAAUAGUGCACAAUGGGCGGAAGCCUGAUGCAGCAACGCCGCGUGCGGGAUUACGGCCUUCGGGUUGUAAACCGCUUUCGCCGGUGACGAAGCGUGAGUGACGGUAAUGGGUAAAGAAGCACCGGCUAACUACGUG